rnacentral:rRNA from 1 species
UACGGAGGGGGCUAGCGUUGUUCGGAAUUACUGGGCGUAAAGCGUACGUAGGCGGCUUUGUAAGUUAGAGGUGAAAGCCCGGGGCUCAACCCCGGAAUUGCCUUUAAGACUGCAUCGCUUGAAUCGCGGAGAGGUGAGUGGAAUUCCGAGUGUAGAGGUGAAAUUCGUAGAUAUUCGGAAGAACACCAGUGGCGAAGGCGGCUCACUGGACGCGUAUUGACGCUGAGGUACGAAAGCGUGGGGAG